rnacentral:rRNA from 1 species
GAUGAACGCUGGCGGCGUGCCUAAUACAUGCAAGUCGAGCGAACGGACGAGAAGCUUGCUUCUCUGGUGUUAGCGGCGGACGGGUGAGUAACACGUGGAUAACCUACCUAUCAGACUGGGAUAACUUCGGGACACCGGAGCUAAUACCGGAUAAUAUCUUGCACCGCAUGGUUCAAUGGUGAAAGACGGUCUUGCUGUCACUUCUAGAUGGAUCCGCGCUGCAUUAGCUAGUUGGUAAGGUAACGGCUUACCAAGGCAACGAUGCAUAGCCGACCUGAGAGGGUGAUCGGCCACACUGGAACUGAGACACGGUCCAGACUCCUACGGGAGGCAGCAGUAGGGAAUCUUCAGCAAUGGGCGAAAGCAUGACGGAGCAACGGCGCGUGAAUGAUGAAGGUCUUCGGAUCGUAAAACUCUGUUAUUAGGGAAGAACAUAUGUGUAAGUAACUGUGCACAUAGUGACGGUACCUAAUCAGAAAGCCACGGCUAACUACGUG